rnacentral:rRNA from 1 species
UCGAGGAUCUUUCGCAAUGGGCGCAAGCCUGACGAAGCGACGCUGCGUGAGCGAUGAAGGCCUUCGGGUCGUAAAGCUCUUUCGCGCAAGAACAAGGAAAUGUUGUGAAUAACAACGUAACUUGAGGGUACUGCGUAAAGAAGCACCGGCUAACUCCGUGCCAGCAGCUGCGGUAAUACGGAGAGUGCAAGCAUUAAUCGGAAUUAUUGGGCGUAAAGGGCGCGUAGGCGGAAAGGAAAGUCAGAUGUGAAAUUCCGAAGCUCAACUUCGGAGCUGCAUUUGAAACUACCUAUCUAGAGGGUUGACGGAGAAAACGGAAUUCCACGUGUAGCGGUGAAAUGCGUAGAUAUGUGGAAGAACACCAGUGGCGAAAGCGGUUUUCUAGUUUAUACCUGACGCUGAGGCGCGAGAGCAAGGGGAGCAAACAGGAUUAGAUACCCGGGUAGUCC